GAAAGAAAACUGGAAUAUUAUUGAUUGGUUAGCAAGAAUGAUGAGUUCUUGUCAGUUUUAAACACAUUUUCAUCAAUAAAAGCAAGAAAAGAUUCUAAGAAAAACAAUGAAAGAGGAAGAGAAGAUAGCAGGGAGGCAGAGAAGAUUGUGAAAGGGGCAAAACAGGCAUCAGAUAGGAUGACUUUCAUGGGAUUGAAGAUGAACUCA
rnacentral:misc_RNA from 1 species